rnacentral:rRNA from 1 species
ACAUCGGUGCAGGUGGUGGCAUGGUUGUCGUCAGCUCGUGUCGUGAGAUGUUGGGUUAAGUCCCGCAACGAGCGCAACCCCUAUUGUUAGUUGCUAUCAUUCAGUUGGGCACUCUAGCGAGACUGCCGGUAAUAAACCGGAGGAAGGUGGGGAUGACGUCAAAUCAUCAUGCCCCUUAUGACCUGGGCUACACACGUGCUACAAUGGUUGGUACAACGAGUUGCGAGUCGGUGACGGCGAGCUAAUCUCUUAAAGCCAAUCUCAGUUCGGAUUGUAGGCUGCAACUCGCCUACAUGAAGUCGGAAUCGCUAGUAAUCGCGGAUCAGCACGCCGCGGUGAAUACGUUCCCGGGCCUU